rnacentral:tRNA from 1 species
GCGGGUAUAGCUAAGUGGUAGAGCACAUGCUUGGCGUGCACGAGGUCCUGGAUUCAAUCCCAGUACCUUCA